rnacentral:rRNA from 1 species
AUUGAACGCUGGCGGCAGGCCUAACACAUGCAAGUCGAACGAGUGGCGGACGGGUGCGUAAUGUCUGGGAAACUGCCCGAUGGAGGGGGAUAACUACUGGAAACGGUAGCUAAUACCGCAUACCAUCGGAGGGGACCAGAUGGGAUUAGCUAGUAGGAGGGGGAACGGCUCACCAAGGCGACGAUCCGUAGCUGGUCUGAGAGGAUGACCGGCAACACUGGAACUGAGACACGGUCCAGACUACUACGGUAGGAAGCAUGGGUGAAUAGUGCACAAUGGGCGAAAGCCUGAUGCAGCCAUGCCGCGUGUAUGAAGAAGGCAUUCGGGUUGUAAAGUACUUUCAGUGAGGAGGCGUUACUCGCAGAAGAAGCACCGGCUAACUCCGUGCCAGCAGCCGCGGUAAUUC